rnacentral:rRNA from 1 species
AGACCCGAAACCCGGUGAUCUAGCCAUGGGCAGGUUGAAGGUUGGGUAACACUAACUGGAGGACCGAACCGACUAAUGUUGAAAAAUUAGCGGAUGACUUGUGGCUGGGGGUGAAAGGCCAAUCAAACCGGGAGAUAGCUGGUUCUCCCCGAAAGCUAUUUAGGUAGCGCCUCGUGAAUUCAUCUCCGGGGGUAGAGCACUGUUUCGGCAAGGGGGUCAUCCCGACUUACCAACCCGAUGCAAACUGCGAAUACCGGAGAAUGUUAUCACGGGAGACACACGGCGGGUGCUAACGUCCGUCGUGAAGAGGGAAACAACCCAGACCGCCAGCUAAGGUCCCAAAGUCAUGGUUAAGUGGGAAACGAUGUGGGAAGGCCCAGACAGCCAGGAUGUUGGCUUAGAAGCAGCCAUCAUUUAAAGAAAGCGUAAUAGCUCACUGGUCGAGUCGGCCUGCGCGGAAGAUGUAACGGGGCUAAACCAUGCACCGAAGCUGCGGCAGCGACACUGUGUGUUGUUGGGUAGGGGAGCGUUCUGUAAGCCUGUGAAGGUGUGCUGUGAGGCAUGCUGGAGGUAUCAGAAGUGCGAAUGCUGACAUAAGUAACGAUAAAGCGGGUGAAAAGCCCGCUCGCCGGAAGACCAAGGGUUCCUGUCCAACGUUAAUCGGGGCAGGGUGAGUCGACCCCUAAGGCGAGGCCGAAAGGCGUAGUCGAUGGGAAACAGGUUAAUAUUCCUGUACUUGGUGUUACUGCGAAGGGGGGACGGAGAAGGCUAUGUUGGCCGGGCGACGGUUGUCCCGGUUUAAGCGUGUAGGCUGGUUUUCCAGGCAAAUCCGGAAAAUCAAGGCUGAGGCGUGAUGACGAGGCACUACGGUGCUGAAGCAACAAAUGCCCUGCUUCCAGGAAAAGCCUCUAAGCAUCAGGUAACAUCAAAUCGUACCCCAAACCGACACAGGUGGUCAGGUAGAGAAUACCAAGGCGCUUGAGAGAACUCGGGUGAAGGAACUAGGCAAAAUGGUGCCGUAACUUCGGGAGAAGGCACGCUGAUAUGUAGGUGAAGUCCCUCGCGGAUGGAGCUGAAAUCAGUCGAAGAUACCAGCUGGCUGCAACUGUUUAUUAAA